UAAAUAAACAAUGACUUUUCUUUUCCCUUUUGUAUAGAAUUACUUGUCUAGUAAUAUCCUUUAUGCUGACUGAUACAAAGACAGAAAAAAAUUGUUGUAUCUCUUGAAGUAAGCAUUGUUUGCAGGCGUG
rnacentral:ribozyme from 1 species